rnacentral:lncRNA from 1 species
CUACAAGUUAUAAUAAAAACGGUUAGAACUGCAACUGACUAAGGAAAUGCAGCUCUCUGCUCUCCCUGAUUGACGAACCAAAAUCCAUAUAUCUGCAAGUUGAAAAUGGUAUUAGUUAGUAUUAUGGCAUUUCCUGAAUGUAGAUGUCCUAGUGUUGGAUGUUUUCUUUCUAGUACUAUCCACAGGAUAGCAGAAAAGAAAGGUUGUGAGCAACAGCAGAAUAACCAAAAGGUCACAUAACAUAAAAGAACAAAGUAUGCAACCUGAUCUGGAGCGCCCAACAUCCAAAAGCUUGCUGAUAUCCUCCUUCACAUGGCAUUGCUGUUUUUAGAGAGAAUGGAGUAAAGAUCGGGCAAUUUAGAAUCCUAAUGUUUUUAGAGAAAAUUAAUGAAUGGAAAAGACAAGUGGCUAGUAUAAUCUGCAUUCCAGUACAGCAAACUCAUACCAUGAGCAAAAGAUCAUGGUUCUCACAACCAAGUGAACUAAACUCACCGAAGAGGGCUAGGAGCAGCAGUUUUGCUCCUUGUAGAGGCACUAGGAGGUGUUGAAGCAAUUGCAAUAGCUGCUGCCCUUUGCCUUGUCAUUGGACUUGUAGGAGUACCAAGUUGAGUACCUUGCUUAGUUGGUGUAAUAGGAGAAGAAGUAGCUGCAAUGCUUGCUUCAACCUUUGAUUUUUUUCCUAUAGUUCAAUACAACAUUAUUAGCAAUUAAUAUGCAAGACAUUUGGCAACAAGUGAAAGGAAUUUAGACUCAUGAAAUAAUUACCGUGGAGGAGGAGUAGCAUCUCGGUCCGCGUCACUUUCAAUCUCUGGCUCCUUGCAUGUCUUCCGAAGAUGACCUAAUGCUCCACACCUUUUGCUAGUUGUCUCCAUGCAACUCUAAAUGCUUUAGAGUUAGG